rnacentral:lncRNA from 1 species
UGCUGGAUUGUGAUGACUAAACCAAUAGAAGCCAUCAGAGCAAAUUCUUUCUGUUAGAUAAAGUGGAAAAUUUCAAAGAUGUGCUGCCUAAGUAUUAGGAAAACAGAGGCCAGUUUUACUUCAGUCCUUGUAAUAAUGGUCAUUCUGUGCUCAGACCUUUAACAUGGGACCGAGGCAUUUCUUCCGACGCGGAGACCCUCACUCCGAGGACUGUAACAACCCCAAGUGAACAGCCAAGGUGUCUGUUUGUGGCUUGGCGCUCCCAGGCAUGCACACAACUAGAAGAGUGCUCCAAGAAGACAAAGGAAUUUAGCAAAAAGUUAUACAAGUGGAGCUGUCACUCCCUGAAACACCACAUCUAGUAUUUUCUGUUAGUAAUAGACAUGUGCUUGUGGCAGCAGACAAGAGAAAGACAAUCUGCAGACUCAGAGAGAACCAGCAACAACACCGUCCUAAAGAUCAGAAACACUCGAUUCUCCUUCAGGGACAGUUUCCUGUUAUGGUCAGGAAGGAGCCACACUUAAAAUAACUAGCACAAAGCAUGCUCUGGACAGGAAAGUCAAUGGCAGGAAACCACAACAAAGGAUCUGGAAGCAGCCUGAGCAGGACUGGCUCUUCCUGGAGAACCAGACCCUGCGAAAGGCGGGGAAGGGGGCCACUGAGGGUAUGUGGUAGGAACACCAGGAGGACAGCCCUGCCAGAGGAGCGGAGGCAAGCACGCUAGCCUGGCCUCCUCUGCACCUGACAGCACACUGAGGAGCCCUGCUAAGCCAGCGGGGUGCUUUCCCACACCCACCGCAUUCCAAUGGCUUCACAACCUAUGCAGGCGGACACAGCCAGGAAGCAACACGCUCCACAUGCAACUCGGGGGAGACGGCUCCAGUCCAGACCACAGACACGGUCGCAGAGUGAGGAGGAUUCGUGCUUUUGCCAGCAGGCUGUGUGGGCAUCAGAGGACCGGGGACUCCAUCACAAGAGAGUCGUCUCUUGGCCUGGUUGAUGCCAUAACUCAUGUCUGGACCCCCUGUAAUUACCUGCACUGACGUCUGGAAGACACCAUCACUCAUGGAAACGCAAGGUAGCUUAGGAAAUCAGACUCAACCUGGAAACCUGUCUGUGCUUACAGCAAGAACUGCAAACAGAAUCACCCUCAUUAUCUAUUCAUCUGGAUGGCCUGCGUAAUAUUUUAACUACCCAAAUCUGUUCAUUUAGGGAGACAUCCUAUGACCUAAAGAAACAAUGACAAAAACUAAUAAAUGUUGCCAUAAAAACUUCAUGCUUUAUAAAAUGCACAAACUGAAGAUAUUCUUGAAUAUUUGUGGUUAUUGUUAAAUAACAUAGGAAAAAUUACUAAAAAUAUGCUAAUGGUUAUACAUAGAGACAUCAAGCAGUCAUUAUCUAUGGAAAGUUUCCUUUGAUGUCAAACUUCUCUGAAUGUAUUACAAACUCUAAAAAAACCACCCAGGUCUUAAACAUAAUUUUCAAAAUACGCUAAGUAGAUAAACUCAUUUUAUCCUCAACCUUUCUAUUAUAUUACAGACAAAGAUUAGCUGCCCAAGGACACAGCAAGAGGGUGGGCUGGAAUAAAAAGGAGAAUCCAGGAGCGGAUGUAAGUCUCACACUGCAUCAGGGGAAAGGAACAAGCAUCCUCUGUGACUCCCAUUCCCACGAUGACAUGCUCCUAACUCAGCCAGCACAGCUGUUUGU